rnacentral:rRNA from 1 species
CCUACGGGAGGCAGCAGUGGGGAAUUUUGGACAAUGGGCGCAAGCCUGAUCCAGCAAUGCCGCGUGCAGGAUGAAGGCCUUCGGGUUGUAAACUGCUUUUGUACGGAACGAAACGGUGAGCUUUAAUACAGUUUGCUAAUGACGGUACCGUAAGAAUAAGCACCGGCUAACUACGUGCCAGCAGCCGCGGUAAUACGUAGGGUGCGAGCGUUAAUCGGAAUUACUGGGCGUAAAGCGUGCGCAGGCGGUUAUAUAAGACAGAUGUGAAAUCCCCGGGCUCAACCUGGGACCUGCAUUUGUGACUGUAUAGCUAGAGUACGGUAGAGGGGGAUGGAAUUCCGCGUGUAGCAGUGAAAUGCGUAGAUAUGCGGAGGAACACCGAUGGCGAAGGCAAUCCCCUGGACCUGUACUGACGCUCAUGCACGAAAGCGUGGGGAGCAAACAGGAUUAGAUACCCUGGUAGUCCACGCCCUAAACGAUGUCAACUGGUUGUUGGGUCUUCACUGACUCAGUAACGAAGCUAACGCGUGAAGUUGACCGCCUGGGGAGUACGGCCGCAAGGUUGAAACGUCAAGGAUUGACGG